rnacentral:rRNA from 1 species
UGGGGAAUUUUCCGCAAUGGGGGCAACCCUGACGCAGCCACGCCGCGUGCCGGAAGACGGCCCUAUGGGUUGUAAACGGCUUUUAUUUGGGAAGAACCUGGGGGAUUGGUCCUCCACUGACGGUACCAAUUGAAUAAGCACCGGCUAACUCCGUGCCAGCAGCCGCGGUAAUACGGAGGGUGCAAGCGUUGUCCGGAAUCAUUGGGUGUAAAGGGUGCGCAGGCUGGCGCCUAAGUCGGAGGUGAAAUCUUGCCGCUUAACGGUAAAAUGGCCCCCGAUACUGGGCGUCUUGAAUCUGACAGAGGUUGGUGGAAUUCGUGGUGUAGCGGUGAAAUGCAUAGAGAUCACGAAGAACAUCAGUGGCGAAGGCGGCCGGCUGGGUCAGUAUUGACGCUGAGGCACGAGAGCGUGGGGAGCGAACGGGAUUAGAUACCCCCG